UGCCGUUCAAAAGGAAAAAAUCCUAGUAAAGAACUAGGUAUUUGAUUCCACGCAAAAAAUUAGUGUUUGCAGCAUUAAAUAUUCCGGGACAGGAGAGACGCAUGCGCAUUGAACCUGCUUCCGCCUUCUUGAUGACUUGCAGUAAAAUGUCUGGCGUCUGAGUUUCUCUUAAUUCAGCUCAAAAUAAAGCAUUAUAAUGCAUUUCUCAACUACUACAUAUACAACAACACUAUCCUUUAUGAAUCAUUUCCUGUGCACUCAAUGACUAUAAUGUUUUGCAUCUUUGGAUAUGGCUGCCCUGGUCCUGGUAAAGCAUAUACAAUGGUAGUUGGUAAUGUAGAAGAUGAGAUGAUGGGUAUGAUUCCAAGAGCUGCUAUUCAGGUGUUUGAAACAGUUGAAUUAUUAGUUGAGAAAGGUUAGACGUAUGAAUUCAAUGUGUCCUUCCUUGAGAUUUACAAUGAAGCCAUUCAUGAUUUGCUGAAUGACAAAGAGAAGAACGAUGUCUAAAUGGCUGCUGACAAAUCAGGUGCAAUGAAUGUUAGCAAUGGGACUAGUGUUGCAGUUGCAUCUUGAGCCCAGAUUCAUUGGUUGUUGUUGAAGGCCUCCAAGAACCAUGCUGUUAGUGAAACCAGACUCAGUGAGUGCUCAUCUUGUAGUCACAGUGCUUGGGGAGACCUGCAAUGGCUGGUAAUAUUUUUAGAGAUUUAGGACGAUUUGUCUCUUGAUAUUUGUAUAAUUUUUUAGUCCUAUAUCUGCUUCUUUAUUACAAACAAGGACAGACAAAUGGAUUAAGUCGAUUACAUCGACCCCAGUGUGUAACUGGUACUUAAUUUAUCGACCCCGAAAGGAUGAAAGGCAAAGUCGACUUCGGCGGAAUUUGAACUCAGAACG